rnacentral:rRNA from 1 species
UACGUAGGGUGCGAGCGUUAAUCGGAAUUACUGGGCGUAAAGCGUGCGCAGGCGGUUCGUUAAGUUCGAUGUGAAAGCCCCCGGCUCAACUGGGGAGGGUCACGCGAUACUGAUCGACUCGAAGGCAGGAGAGGGUAGUGGAAUUCCCGGUGUAGUGGUGAAAUGCGUAGAUAUCGGGAGGAACACCAGUGGCGAAGGCGACUACCUGGCCUGUUCUUGACGCUGAGGCGCGAAAGCUAGGGGAGCAAACGGG